CGGACGGGUGAGUAACGCGUGAGGAACCUGCCUUUCAGUGGGGGACAACAGUUGGAAACGACUGCUAAUACCGCAUAACGUACGGGUAUCGCAUGGUAUCUGUAUCAAAGAUUUAUCGCUGAGAGAUGGCCUCGCGUCUGAUUAGCUAGUUGGUAGGGUAACGGCCUACCAAGGCGACGAUCAGUAGCCGGACUGAGAGGUUGGCCGGCCACAUUGGGACUGAGAUACGGCCCAGACUCCUACGGGAGGCAGCAG
rnacentral:rRNA from 1 species